CCAGCCCGCUCAGAAACUUAAAGGAAUUGACGGGGCCGCACAAGCGGAGGAACAUGUGGUUUAAUUCGAUGAUACGCGAGGAACCUUACCUGGGCUCAAAUGUAUGUUGACGUAUUCUGAAAGGGAUACUUCUUCGGACAAUAUACAAGGUGCUGCAUGGUUGUCGUCAGCUCGUGCCGUGAGGUGUCGGGUUAAGUCCCAUAACGAGCGCAACCCCUACCUUUAGUUGCCAUCAGGUAAUGCUGGGGACUCUAAAGGAACUGCCUACGCAAGUAGUGAGGAAGGCGGGGAUGACGUCAAAUCAGCACGGCCCUUACGUCCAGGGCUACACACGUGCUACAAUGGCCGAUACAGAGGGCAGCUACCUGGUGACAGGAUGCAAAUCUCCAAAGUCGGUCUCAGUUCGGAUCGGAGUCUGCAACCCGACUCCGUGAAGUUGGAUUCGCUAGUAAUCGCGCAUCAGCCAUGGCGCGGUAAAUACGUUCCCGGGCCUU
rnacentral:rRNA from 1 species